rnacentral:rRNA from 1 species
UACGUAGGGUGCGAGCGUUGUCCGGAAUUAUUGGGCGUAAAGAGCUUGUAGGCGGUUUGUCGCGUCUGCCGUGAAAAUUCGAGGCUCAACCUCGAACUUGUGGUGGGUACGGGCAGACUAGAGUGUGGUAGGGGAGACUGGAAUUCCUGGUGUAGCGGUGAAAUGCGCAGAUAUCAGGAGGAACACCGGUGGCGAAGGCGGGUCUCUGGGCAAUAACUGACGCUGAGGAGCGAAAGCGUGGGGAGCGAACAGG